UUGAAUAGCUUUGCGAUUCUUUGCGAGUGGCACUUUCCUUUACACUAUUGGAGAUGCAGAAUACCUGGGUAAAAAUGCUGUAUGUCGUGCCACUCGCAAAGUUUAUCUGUCACUCAAACAGUUUUUAGGGGGCUUUGUGGUAUUUCCAUGCCACUUAAGACCACAGGCUGUGAAGCAGAUUUUUUUUUGCCAUUGCAGGUACAUUAUAAUUGUUAAUGAAGAUCAUGGAAUCAUGAUCAUGCCAAAAAGUAGCCUAGGACUUACAGUAUUUGUUCCUCAGGCUUCCCUAAUGUUAUUUGUGCCAUAGACUGCACACAGGUCCCCAUCAAGGCCCCACCUGGCCCAAAUGAAGGGGAUUUUUUGAACAGAAAGGGAUUUCACAGUGUAAAUGUGCAAAUGGUGUGCGACUCCAUGUUCCACAUCACAAAUGUGGAAGCCACAUGGCCUGGUUCUGUGGGUGACUCCAGGAUUUUCAGAGAGUCACAUUUAUGCACAUUAUUUGAACGUGGUGCUGACGAUGGGAUCCUGUUCGGCGACAGGGGCUAUGCCUUCAGGCAGGCAGUACUUCAUGACGGCAUUCCCCAACCCAAACCCUGGACCACAAACCCGUUACAAUGCAGCUCUAGCCAGG